UUGAACGCUGGCGGCAGGCCUAACACAUGCAAGUCGAACGGUAACAGGAAGAAGCUUGCUUCUUUGCUGACGAGUGGCGGACGGGUGAGUAAUGUCUGGGAAACUGCCUGAUGGAGGGGGAUAACUACUGGAAACGGUAGCUAAUACCGCAUAACGUCGCAAGACCAAAGAGGGGGACCUUCGGGCCUCUUGCCAUCGGAUGUGCCCAGAUGGGAUUAGCUUGUUGGUGGGGUAACGGCUCACCAAGGCGACGAUCCCUAGCUGGUCUGAGAGGAUGACCAGCCACACUGGAACUGAGACACGGUCCAGACUCCUACGGGAGGCAGCAGUGGGGAAUAUUGCACAAUGGGCGCAAGCCUGAUGCAGCCAUGCCGCGUGUAUGAAGAAGGCCUUCGGGUUGUAAAGUACUUUCAGCGGGGAGGAAGGGAGUAAAGUUAAUACCUUUACUCAUUGACGUUACCCGCAGAAGAAGCACCGGCUAACUCCGUGCCAGCAGCCGCGGUAAUACGGAGGGUGCAAGCGUUAAUCGGAAUUACUGGGCGUAAAGCGCACGCAGGCGGUUUGUUAAGUCAGAUGUGAAAUCCCCGGGCUCAACCUGGGAACUGCAUCUGAUACUGGCAAGCUUGAGUCUCGUAGAGGGGGGUAGAAUUCCAGGUGUAGCGGUGAAAUGCGUAGAGAUCUGGAGGAAUACCGGUGGCGAAGGCGGCCCCCUGGACGAAGACUGACGCUCAGGUGCGAAAGCGUGGGGAGCAAACAGGAUUAGAUACCCUGGUAGUCCACGCCGUAAACGAUGUCGACUUGGAGGUUGUGCCCUUGAGGCGUGGCUUCCGGAGCUAACGCGUUAAGUCGACCGCCUGGGGAGUACGGCCGCAAGGUUAAAACUCAAAUGAAUUGACGGGGGCCCGCACAAGCGGUGGAGCAUGUGGUUUAAUUCGAUGCAACGCGAAGAACCUUACCUGGUCUUGACAUCCACAGAACUUUCCAGAGAUGGAUUGGUGCCUUCGGGAACUGUGAGACAGGUGCUGCAUGGCUGUCGUCAGCUCGUGUUGUGAAAUGUUGGGUUAAGUCCCGCAACGAGCGCAACCCUUAUCCUUUGUUGCCAGCGGUCCGGCCGGGAACUCAAAGGAGACUGCCAGUGAUAAACUGGAGGAAGGUGGGGAUGACGUCAAAUCAUCAUGCCCUUUAUGACUUGGGCUACACACGUACUACAAUGGGUGUAACAGAGGGAAGCAACACAGCGAUGUGAAGCGAAACCCAAAAAGCACCCCCAGUUCGGAUUGAAGGCUGAAAUUCGCCUUCAUGAAGCCGGAAUUGCUAGUAAUGGCAGGUCAGCAUACUGCCGUGAAUACGUUCCCGGGCCUUGUACACACCGCCCGUCACACCAUGAGAGUUGGGGAUACCCGAAGCCUGUGAGCCAACAUAUCUAUGAGGCAGCAGUCGAAGGUAGAAUCAAUGAUUGGGGUG
rnacentral:rRNA from 1 species